CAGUCGCCGCGGUAAUACGUAGGGUGCGAGCGUUAAUCGGAAUUACUGGGCGUAAAGCGUGCGCAGGCGGUUUUGUAAGACAGGCGUGAAAUCCCCGGGCUCAACCUGGGAAUGGCGCUUGUGACUGCAAAGCUAGAGUGCGGCAGAGGGGGAUGGAAUUCCGCGUGUAGCAGUGAAAUGCGUAGAUAUGCGGAGGAACACCGAUGGAGAAGGCAAUCCCCUGGGCCUGCACUGACGCUCAUGCACGAAAGCGUGGGGAGCAAACAGGAUUAGAUACCCGGGUAGUCCCUGUCUCUUAUAC
rnacentral:rRNA from 1 species